rnacentral:misc_RNA from 1 species
GAUGAAGAACGUAGCGAAAUGCGAUAAGUAGUGUGAAUUGCAGAAUUCAGUGAAUCAUCGAAUCUUUGAACGCACAUUGCGCCCGCUGGUAUUCCGGCGGGCAUGCCUGUUCGAGCGUCAUUUCAACCCUCAAGCCCCCGGGUUUGGUGUUGGGGAUCGGCUCUGCCCUUCUGGGCGGUGCCGCCCCCGAAAUACAUUGGCGGUCUCGCUGCAGCCUCCAUUGCGUAGUAGCUAACACCUCGCAACUGGAACGCGGCGCGGCCAUGCCGUAAAACCCCAACUUCUGAAUGUUGACCUCGGAUCAGGUAGGAAUACCCGCUGAACUUAAGCAUAUCAAUAAGCGGAGA